AAGAAGCUCUCACGUGGCGUUAUAUCACCCAACCCCCCCAGGGCAGGAAUGCAGCAAGGGUAAGUGGUCUCUGACGGGUACGUGAGAGUUUUUAUUU
rnacentral:SRP_RNA from 1 species